rnacentral:rRNA from 1 species
AUUGAACGCUGGCGGCAUGCUUAACGCAUGCAAGUCGAACGGCAGCACAGUCUAGCUUGCUAGAUGGGUGGCGAGUGGCGAACGGGUGAGUAACGCGUAGGAAUAUGCCUUAAAGAGUGGGACAACUUGGGGAAACUCAAGCUAAUACCGCAUAAUAUCUUCGGAUGAAAGCUGGGGACCUUCGGGCCUGGCGCUUUAAGAUUAGCCUGCGUCCGAUUAGCUAGUUGGUAGGGUAAGGGCCUACCAAGGCGACGAUCGGUAGCUGGUCUGAGAGGAUGGCCAGCCACACUGGAACUGAGACACGGUCCAGACUCCUACGGGAGGCAGCAGUGGGGAAUAUUGGACAAUGGGGGCAACCCUGAUCCAGCAAUGCCGCGUGUGUGAAGAAGGCCUGAGGGUUGUAAAGCACUUUCAGUGGGGAGGAGGAUGACUAGGUUAAGAGCUAGGUUAUUGGACGUUACCCACAGAAGAAGCACCGGCUAACUCCGUGCCAGCAGCCGCGGUAAUACGGAGGGUGCAAGCGUUAAUCGGAAUUACUGGGCGUAAAGAGUGCGUAGGUGGUUGAAUAAGUUAUCUGUGAAAUCCCCGGGCUUAACCUGGGCAGGUCAGAUAAUACUGUUUGACUCGAGUAUGGGAGAGGGUAGUGGAAUUUCCGGUGUAGCGGUGAAAUGCGUAGAGAUCGGAAGGAACACCAGUGGCGAAGGCGGCUACCUGGCCUAAUA